rnacentral:rRNA from 1 species
UACCCGCAGCACAAGUGGUGGUCAUUAUUAUUGGGCCUAAAGCGUCCGUAGCUGGCCUGUUAGAUGCCUGGGUAAAUCGAUGCGCUUAACGUAUCGAAUUCCGGGUAGACCGGCAGGCUCGAGACCGGGAGAGGUGUAGGCUACUCGGGGGGUAGGGGUAAAAUCCUGUAAUCCUCCGGGGAGGACCAGUGGCGAAGGCGCUACACUAGAACGGCUCUGACAGUGAGGGACGAAGCCCUGGGGCGCAAACCGG